rnacentral:tRNA from 1 species
GCAUUGGUGGUUUAGUGGUAGAAUUCUCACCUGCCAUGUGGGAGGCCUGGGUUCAGUUCCCAGUCAUUAUU